UGUAUCUACGAGCCGCCGGUGGGUGAACCACGCACCGCUCAGUCUCGUUAAGUCGAACGCAUCCCUCUUAGAACGAUGGGACCACAGCCACGGCGCACCACUGCCCCGCAUCCGCCAUCCACGUGGCCGUGCUGCAGAGGAGAGCUGACAAAGUCGGACUCUGGGCAACGCGUGGGGUCCCCCAAAGGCGCAUCAUGUCAGGUCGGCGGGUCUACACACGUGGAAACGCCAACACUGAACUUUGGCUCAAACUUUGCCCAACUAUCCCCACGCGCCAGGGCUCAGCCGUUUGAGCAUCCACUGAAUGGGCCAACUGGGUCGCGACCGUCAACUCACUCCCCUCCGACCCCAGCGCGGGGUCAGCCAUUGGGCUGGGGUCACGCCAAUCAAGGUUGCCUGGCGAAUGAGCAGGGGGCGUCGGACCGGAAACCGGAUAUGAAGGGGAGGUCCAAUAGGGGGCGCCGCGUUGGAACGCCCCAAGAGGUUGUGCUGCUGGGGUGGUUGGAAGCGGUUGGUGGGCGUGCGUAUGGCGGCCAGGCCUGGGACGCCACGAGGCUCACUGGCGCCGUGGGGUCACUCUUCCCAAAGCCACAAGUCGCCAAGGCUGGAAGGGAAGGUCUGGGCCUACCAGGAGACAACCCUAGGGCUCGAUGGGCAAACCCACCCUCCCGAGGGGACCGCCGAUGAGGCCAGGCGAGGAGGAAGAAAAUGUCUAGGGCCUGUUGGUAGAGGGCCAAGGCCCUGAUGCACAGGAGGGGCCCAGACGCCUAAGGACCUGAGGCCCUGGGAUGCUGCGCCCUGCCGAGCUAGAAGGCAUUGGCCACCAGAGUCUAAAAACCCCAAAUCACUUAUGUGAGGGGGUUCAAAGCAGAAACCAUCACAGAUGAGCAGUGGGACCUGGGACACCUCAGAAGUACAGCCAGAUGUUUGAGGAGCUGGCUGAAAGGCAGCUGGUGCACCUGGCAACAGGGACCUGAGGAGCCCGGUGUGGUCACCUUUCUGUUAAGAUACAUACUUUCCCCAACGCCAUGGUUUCUGCUCAGUUUCCUCUCAAUAGCUUCCCUCUGCAUGAGGAGCUGUGAUAACACAGGGUCGGCAGUAAGGCACACUUUACGCACUGAAGACGCGUUACGGACCGCCGCGGUUUCUGUCCUCUGGCCACAGGACGGCUUCACCUCCAGGUUACAGAUACCAAACUUAGCUCCACCCGAGCUGCAAAUGGCCGCUUUUGUUCAGAACGAGGCAGGGGUUCGCCGUGGUGGCAACCCUCAAGUUAGGCCAUUGUUCAUAGACUCUUCUCCUGGGGCCCCGCACAGAACAGCGUCGUGAGCACGCACCCGCUGCUCAAAUCAAGGUGGCGACAGAACCUUCAGGGAGAAGCCUUCAGAAGAUGAACUGCUGAGGCCGGCUGUCAGCGCGUGAGGCCGAGACAGAGCCGUGAUGAAGUUCCUCUCCGUGGUGCUCAGAGCCUGCCGCCAAGGCCCCUGCAAACCCACGUUCAAAGGCCGUUUCUUCAAAGUCAACAGUGCUGCCUUUGAACUGGGAUGGGGAGCGGGCGGUCGGAAGGCAGGCUUCGAUGUGCAUGUUUGAGUGGAGUGCAUGAGGUUCGUGGUGGCAUUAGCCCUUGGGGGGCAGAGAGGGGCCACCGGUGUCCUGUGCCGUCUCUGUCCACCUGGGGCCACCAGAGGUCCCCGUGCAGGGCCGGGCCAGGAGGGGUGAUAAUGAAGAUGAAGGGCUCUUCCGGAGGGCACCCCCCAAUCCUGUUGUGCUGGAUUCAGAGGGUUGGGUGGAGGCUUUCCUGAAGGGCUGGAGGAGCGCUGCGCCCACGGGCUGGGCUGUACUGUCAGGAGGCGGGACAUGGGGAGCCUGCCCCCCAACCAGCGAGUCCCCCACGUGGUGGCCUGUCCUACUGUUGUUCUGCCCCAAGCCUCCUGUGGCUACCUGCAGUACAGCCCACCCUCUGAGCUUGGCCUUGACCACCAGCAUUGCCCCCAAAUGCCCCCAAAUGUUCCAUACGCUGUUCAGCCCACAGUUGCCUGAAGACCUGCACCUGGGCCUGCUCUUCCUCUCUUGGGGGCCAGAGGGGUCUUUCUCACCCUGGCUUCCCACCUGCAGGGAGCCCCCUGCCACCCAGCUCUCACGGCCCCCAUCAUCCCUGUCAUUUUGCUGGUAAUGUUUGCUGCCCCCUAUUCUAGUCCGAGAGCUUGUGGGAUGGGGGCCAGAGCUGUCCUGAGGAUUACUACGUUCACCAGCCUGGUCCUCUCCCAAGGUGUGCAGUGGGUGCCUAACGAAUACCUGAGCUUGAGUAGGGUAGACGUCUAUCUCUUUGUUCGUUCUCCAUAGAGCCCUCCCUGCUCGCCUCGCACCCAUGGCUCCCUCGUCUUUUCUCUGGUUCCCUGGAGCUCGUGGCUGCUGCUCUAGGGGCUCCGCAGGGAGCGUGAUGCCCGGGUACCCCCCGUCCUCUCCCACGGUCACAGGUGGCUCUCUUCCUCCGUGGCACUUACCAUAGCGUAGAACUUACUUUCCUAAUGCCUGGCUCCCCCCCACCCCCAGACUGAACCCCCGAGGGCAGGGCCUGUCUUUGUCACACACUUGGAACGAAGCAGGCAGCUGGAUGGACCGCGCCGAAAAAGUCAGACCCUUGGGACAUGAAAAAGGCAAUUGAAGGAGUGUCCCAAGUGCCGGGCGGCUUCCUGACAGUGCUCGGGACACUCGGGCCGCGGGCACUAUGAGAGGCCGAGAGAGGAACGAAGGACAGGGCCUCUGCUCCCAGAGUGCAGCUGCGGGGGAGGCUCAGCAUCAGCAGCUCUGGAGCCCGCGUCUCAGGGUGGGGGGUGGGGGUGGGUAAUGGGCCUAAUGGUCCAGUUCUGGGGCCAGGCACCCCCACCCACUCCCCAUCGCCAGCACAGCUGUAAUGCCAACCACCACCUGCUUCUCUCGCCUGUAGCUUUUCCUCCUGUCCCCAGCGAAGACCACACGCCCGUCCUUGCCAAGGCCAGCCUUCCUUCCUCGUGGCUUCUGCCCACUGUGGCCUCCUCCUCCCUGCCACCUGUUCAGCCGUGGGCACGCCGGCCCUGCCGAGCUGCACAGGAGAAGCAGGAGUCCCUUCGAGGCGUUCCCUCCGUGGGAAGUGGAAGGCUAUACAGGAGAACUAGGAAUUAGGUAGCAUGUUAGUGUUCUGUGUACCUGCACUCGGGCGGAGCAGGAGGACAGGCUGCAGGUUUAAUCUGGGGACCCCACGCUCCCCACCCUGUGUCCAGGCCCAGGGCUUCACCUUCCACAUCACUGAUAUUGAGGCUGGCCACACCCUGGGCCUCUGCCCCCACCAGAUGCCAGUGGCCGCCCCUCUGCCCAUCUCCAGACAUCACCUGGUGUCCUGGGAGGGAUCCCACACCCCACUGGGAGACUACAGUUAAGAGACUUACCUAAGUUUUACCUUGACCUGAUGGGAAGAAAUAAAUCAGGACAAAAAAAUGUUUCACAUACCGUCUGCUCUGGACUCGAUCCUCCUGCCCCAGGGUAGCUGAGAUGUGAAGUCUGUGCCCUUCCGCGGGUCCUGGUGUUGGAGGGCCUUUGAUCCGACAUUGCAGAAAUAGCUCUAGAUCAGUGUGCAUCGUGUGCACAAUACACAGACGGAUUUCCCAGCUCUGCUCGGGGCCCUGGGAAGCCCUGGAAGCAGGGGCACCCCAGCAGCCGCAGCCGUGCCCCACCUCAGACUUGGUCUCCGAUGCCAGUAUCUGGUGGAAGGAACCAGCCUCCUUGUUACAAGAGCUUCUUCCUGGGCUGAGGCGAGGACUGUGAUGAGCCUGGAGCCCAGAGUCAUGGCAGAAAGUAAGGAUGUGCUCAAAAACCAAAAUGAGGGCCUGGCAAGGGACACAGGAGCCACCCAGAGUGCUCCCAGGGACCCAGAGUGGAACCAUUCAACUCACAGGCUAGUCCGGGAUUAGGAUUCAGUCUACACUGUUGUAGAUAACUGAAUAAAUAGAGGAAUGCAUGUGAGAGACAAAUCUCUUGUAUGGAGAAUUGCAAAGAAUUCAUAUAAAAGCCCCUUUAGAAGCGGGGACACAACUACCCACCCCUUCAGUCUGGGCAAUGCUCGGGGUCUUGAUUCCAGAGCACAGCGGAGAACCUUGGCUGAGGGGAGCACUGCACAGCAGCCGGGGCUGAGGUUCACUUCUCCCAUUGACUGUUGGUCGGGAACACAGACCCAGGUAGGGCAUGAUGAGUAGCCUCCACGUCCAAGAGUCCCUUCUGAACCCAUCAUCCCAAUAAUCCAAGUAUAAACCCAACCCUGGGGACGUCCUACCAGCACUCCUCAGGAUGGUCAAGGUCGUUAAAACAAGGGAAAUCCGAGAAACUCCAAGCCAAGAAGAGACCUAACAGUAAAAUGUAAUGUGUCCAGGAAUGGAUCCUGCAACAGAAAAUAAAGGGCUUUUGGUGAAACCUGAGUAACACCUGGAGUUGAGUUAAUAAUGUAUCAGUAUUGGCUCAGUCACCGUGGCAAAUUAGCCCAGCAAUGUAACAAUAGUAGGAACUGGGUGCUGGGUGCACAGAAACUCUGGACUCUCUUGGUAACUUUUCUGUAGAUCUAAAACGAUUUUAAAAUAAAAAGCUUUUUUUAAAAAUA